rnacentral:rRNA from 1 species
AAUCAACGCUGGCGGCGUGCCUCAGACAUGCAAGUCGAACGAUUAAAGCUCUCUUCGGAGAGUGUAUAGAGUGGCGCACGGGUGAGUAACACGUAAGUAAUCUACCUUUGAGUGGGGAAUAACAGUCGGAAACGACUGCUAAUACCGCAUAAUGCAGCGGCAUCGCAAGAUGACAGUUGUUAAAGGAGCAAUCCGCUUAAAGAGGAGCUUGCGGCAGAUUAGCUAGUUGGUAAGGUAAUGGCUUACCAAGGCUACGAUCUGUAUCCGGUCUAAGAGGACGGUCGGACACACUGACACUGAAUAACGGGUCAGACUCCUACGGAGGCAGCAGUCGGGAAUUUUGGGCAAUGGGCGAAAGCCUGACCCAGCAACGCCGCGUGAAGGAUGAAGUAUUUCGGUAUGUAAACUUCGAAAGAAUGGGAAGAAUAAAUGACGGUACCAUUUAUAAGGUCCGGCUAAC